rnacentral:rRNA from 15 species
CACGGUCGUUGAAGAGGUGUAGUCUAGGUGGGAGCCAUUUGGCGCACCUGAAAAACCACCACUCUUUUUGCUACUGUGAUUGGUUUACCGGGUUGUU